rnacentral:rRNA from 1 species
CAGUCGCCGCGGUAAUACGAAGGGUGCAAGCGUUACUCGGAAUUACUGGGCGUAAAGCGUGCGUAGGUGGUGGUUUAAGUCCGUUGUGAAAGCCCUGGGCUCAACCUGGGAAUUGCAGUGGAUACUGGGUCACUAGAGUGUGGUAGAGGAUGGUGGAAUUUCCGGUGUAGCAGUGAAAUGCGUAGAGAUCGGAAGGAACAUCUGUGGCGAAGGCGACUAUCUGGGCCAACACUGACACUGAGGCACGAAAGCGUGGGGAGCAAACAGGAUUAGAUACCCCAGUAGUCCCUGUCUCUUAUAU